AGUGAACGCUGGCGGUAGGCCUAACACAUGCAAGUCGAACGGCAGCACAGUAAGAGCUUGCUCUUACGGGUGGCGAGUGGCGGACGGGUGAGGAAUACAUCGGAAUCUACUUUUUCGUGGGGGAUAACGUAGGGAAACUUACGCUAAUACCGCAUACGACCUACGGGUGAAAGCAGUGGAUCUUCGGACCUUGCGCGAUUGAAUGCGCCGAUGUCGGAUUAGCUAGUUGGCGGGGGAAAGGCCCACCAAGGCGACGAUCCGUAGCUGGUCUGAGAGGAUGAUCAGCCACACUGGAACUGAGACACGGUCCAGACUCCUACGGGAGGCAGCAGUGGGGAAUAUUGGACAAUGGGCGGAAGCCUGAUCCAGCCAUACCGCGUGGGUGAAGAAGGCCUUCGGGUUGUAAAGCCCUUUUGUUGGGAAAGAAAAGCAGCAGGUUAAUACCCCGCUGUUCUGACGGUACCCAAAGAAUAAGCACCGGCUAACUUCGUG
rnacentral:rRNA from 1 species